AGUAAAGUCAGCUAAUCAAGCUUUUGGGCCCAUACCCCAACCAUGUUGGUUAAAAUCCUUCCUCUACUA
rnacentral:tRNA from 1 species